CCAUUCGCGUGCACGAUUGUUGCUCGAAAAAAUGGACAGGAUCUUCGGGACUCCGUAAACGCGAGAGCGUAUCGAGCGAGUACAAGCGGUCGACGGUAAUUCGCUCCGCGACGAAUCGCUGGAUUUUUCGUCGGCGAAAUUUAACGUUCACGCGUUUCGGCUGCCGCUCGAAUAAUAAGCGCCGAUCGGCGCGUGUUCCUAAAUAAAAGAAAAGACAAAAAAGCAUCCUAAAUCGUGGCUAAUGCUCGUGGCGUGCUUCGCUGGGUUUUACGCGUCGCGAAUAUUUCACGACGCUGGUUCACCUUUCAAUUAUUUCUCGGCUCUUGGAACGCGUCUCAUUGACCGAUAAAGCGCACGGAUAAGGGAGAUAUAAAGCGACGAUAAACCGUAUCACCGACGCGUUUGGCAAUGUUUCGCGCUGGCUUAUCGCAUCGUUAAUUUAGUAUACAAGAUUCCGAUGACUUGUGAAAUCAUUCCCUAUCUACUACCGAACUUGCCGAAACUGUCGGAUGCAUUGUCGUAUGGCACCGAGAUAACGGAUCGCGUUGUGGCAACAGCGAACGGGCCCCGUAAUCACUGCAAUCGCGAUAAUUUCACGGAAAAAAGGGAAUCGUUAUCUCGUUGGUCGUGUACCCUGCAAAUAGAACGUGCCUGUCUGUUUACCGCGAAGAAACGCUGAUAAUGAUCGUCGGCGGGAACUGCUUUUGAGCUAGAACUGCAAGGACAAUAACAUCGAUCGUGCCGGGGUGGUCCGUACGACGCUUCCCUUUCGAUUUCCUCGAUUUUACACUAAAAAUAUCAUUGUCGUCAUUGUUCAACUGUCCUCGGUCCAGUCGUACAGGGUGAAUCUAAAUUAAUGUCACGAGGCAGAUGUAUUCUACAAAUGUUAUUCAUUUAAUUAUAAGUUCUGGUACUUGUUUGGAAAAUACAAACAUACCUUUUUUAAGGUAAAUAGUUUCGUCGAACAAUUUUACGCACAGUAUUCGCUGUAAUUAUUCAAUGAUAUUCUCGAUUAAAAAUGUACGUCUCAAAAAUGCAUCGACAUCAAGCAAUAAUUUAUUAUUCGCGUGUACGAGGAAAUGAUUAUUUAACUAUAAAGCGAUCGUGUCCUAAAUUGCUUACAUAAUUUAUAAAAGUUCUUGCUACGAAGAACUUUUACUUCAUAAAUUGACUCUGUUAAAUUUAUCUGGUUAUAUUGAAAAUUGAGAAUAAAAUACUUUCAUUUCCAAGAUGUGCAAUAAUU